UACGUAGGGUGCGAGCGUUGUCCGGAAUUAUUGGGCGUAAAGAGCUCGUAGGUGGCGCCGUAAGUCAGGUGUGAAAUUUCGGAGCUUAACUCCGAAACUGCAUUUGAUACUGCGGUGCUUGAGGACUGGAGAGGAGACUGGAAUUUACGGUGUAGCAGUGAAAUGCGUAGAGAUCGUAAGGAAGACCAGUGGCGAAGGCGGGUCUCUGGACAGUUCCUGACACUGAGGCACGAAGGCCAGGGGAGCAAACGGG
rnacentral:rRNA from 1 species